UGUACUCGCUACAGUAAGUCGCUCUGGAUAAGAGCGUCUGCUAAAUGACUAAUA
rfam:Salmo salar isolate Sally breed double haploid chromosome ssa10, whole genome shotgun sequence.